GCAGCUGAUUGAAACCGAAAGUUAAGUUGUUCUUUUGUUCAGGAUCCAUUUUGAGACGACAGAGCAGAAAAUACUAUAUGGAGAUUAUUGAAAAAUAAAGUAAGUAUUUCUGAACAAUAAUUAAUUCUACUGGACAGAGUAAGAGAAUGAAUACCUGGAAUGAGAUAUUACUAGUUAGUAGAACUACUACUUGAGCUGAGUUGCUGACAGACAGCAGUUUUCAAAGUGGAAACUAAUCAGUAGGUCUACAUGUUAUCAGUAAAACGUCUGGUAAAGAUGGCGGAGGAGCUUUUACAUUAUAUGGUUUUAUGUUUAUCUCAGGGUUUCUCAAUCCUUUUGUUCUUACCAGCACUUACACACCUGAUUCAACUAAUCAUUAAAUAUUUUAAGACAGUUUAAUAUUUGAGGCAUACAAAUUAACUUUCUCAAAUUAAAACCUUUUGGGUUUGGUAGAUCUGUUAACAAUUAUUAAAGUCCUACAUUAACUCAUAUGUUGGAGAUAAAAAAAAACACAACUAAACCUGGUUUAGAGUAAAUGAUAAGUUUAGCUUAAAUAAUGUAAGAGAGAUGUCUCGAAGAAGGACUAUAAAAAAAAAUGUAAGCAAGAUUCGGUACAAUGCCACGAGUUACUGAUGUCACUGUUAGCGCCACCCUCUGGUUAAUAUUGUUAUAUAAAGUGAAAGUAAGGGUGUGGUCUACGCUGUUACAAAAUGACUGUAGAAAAUGUAGCGCACAUUUCUCUGCAACAUUAGAAGCAGGAUAAAUGUGUUGAUUUGAAGGACAGACGGACAGACUCUGGAUCCAUUUUGAGACGACAGAGCAGAAAACACUAUAUGGACAAUACUGACAAAUAAAGGGUCAGUGCUCUAAAAUGAGUCUCUCUGGGGAGAGGAAGGAGGGGGGCCCUGCCUCUAAAAUGCAUCUCUCUGGGGAGAGAGAGGAGGGGGCCCCUGCCUCUAAAAUGAGUCUCUCUGGGGGACAUGACACCAAAGCUAAGAGACCAAUCAAGCAGGAGAGACCAACCUCCCCUGUACCCAGCUGUGUGUCCAUGAAGAGUGACCGGUCUAUGGUUCAUCCUAUAGAGUUUAGAGAGGGAGACUUUUCUACUGAACAAAGACCAAUCAAGCAGAAGAGACCAGCCUCCCCUGUUCCCAGCUGUGUGUCCAUGAAGAGUGACCGGUCUAUGGUUCAUCCUAUAGAGUUUAGAGAGGGAGACUUUUCUACUGAACAAAGACCAAUCAAGCAGGAGAGACCAGCCUCCCCUGUUCCCAGCUGUGUGUCCAUGAAGAGUGACCAGUCUAUGGAACAUCCUAUAACCUUUAGAGAGGGAGACUUUUCUACUGAACAAAGACCAAUCAAGCAGGAGAGACCAGCCUCCCCUGUACCCAGCUGUGUGUCCAUGAAGAGUGACCGGUCUAUGGUUCAUCCUAUAGAGUUUAGAGAGGGAGACUUUUCUACUGAACAAAGACCAAUCAAGCAGGAGAGACCAGCCUCCCCUGUACCCAGCUGUGUGUCCAUGAAGAGUGACUGGUCUAUGGAUCGUCCUAUAUACUUUAGAGAGGGAGACUUUUCUACUGAACAAAGGUAA
ensembl:lncRNA